ensembl:snRNA U2 U2 spliceosomal RNA
UGUCCUCCAUAGGAGGUCUAUAUUGAGCAGAUUCUUUUUGGUAUUGGGUGGUGGAACCAGAGCGUGCUCCAUCCACUCCGUGCAUUGACCUGGUAUUGCAGUGCUUCCAGGACCGGUGC